AACCCAUGAUAAGGGCACCUUCUAAAAAGAUCCUUAAAUAUCUCUUAUGCAUCAUAUAGUGUCUCAAGCUCAAUUUGGGAAAAUGAAGAGAUGUCAUUCCUCAGCUU
rfam:Gossypium arboreum cultivar AKA8401 contig_79518_1, whole genome shotgun sequence.